AACGAACGCUGGCGGCGUGCCUAGCACAUGCAAGUCGAGCGGAGAAUUCAGCAAUGGAUUCUUAGCGGCGGACGGGUGAGUAACGCGUGGGCAACCUGCCUUGUACAGGGGGAUAACACAGGGAAACUUGUGCUAAUACCGCAUAACAUCGUUGGAGGACAUCCUCUGAUGAUCAAAGGAGCAAUCCGGUAUAAGAUGGGCCCGCGUCCAAUUAGCUAGUUGGUGGUGUAACGGACCACCAAGGCGACGAUUGGUAGCCGAACUGAGAGGUUGAUCGGCCACAUUGGGACGGAGACACGGCCCAGACUCCUACGGGAGGCAGCAGUGGGGAAUAUUGCGCAAUGGGGGAAACCCUGACGCAGCAACGCCGCGUGAAGGAUGAGGGUUUUCGGAUCGUAAACUUCUUUGAUGAGGGACGAAACAAAUGACGGUACCUCAAAAACAAGCCACGGCUAACUACGUGCCAGCAGCCGCGGUAACAC
rnacentral:rRNA from 1 species